GCAAGUCGAACGAACUCUGGUAUUGAUUGGUGCUUGCAUCAUGAUUUACAUUUGAGUGAGUGGCGAACUGGUGAGUAACACGUGGGAAACCUGCCCAGAAGCGGGGGAUAACACCUGGAAACAGAUGCUAAUACCGCAUAACAACUUGGACCGCAUGGUCCGAGCUUGAAAGAUGGCUUCGGCUAUCACUUUUGGAUGGUCCCGCGGCGUAUUAGCUAGAUGGUGGGGUAACGGCUCACCAUGGCAAUGAUACGUAGCCGACCUGAGAGGGUAAUCGGCCACAUUGGGACUGAGACACGGCCCAAACUCCUACGGGAGGCAGCAGUAGGGAAUCUUCCACAAUGGACGAAAGUCUGAUGGAGCAACGCCGCGUGAGUGAAGAAGGGUUUCGGCUCGUAAAACUCUGUUGUUAAAGAAGAACAUAUCUGAGAGUAACUGUUCAGGUAUUGACGGUAUUUAACCAGAAAGCCACGGCUAACUACGUGCCAGCAGCCGCGGUAAUACGUAGGUGGCAAGCGUUGUCCGGAUUUAUUGGGCGUAAAGCGAGCGCAGGCGGUUUUUUAAGUCUGAUGUGAAAGCCUUCGGCUCAACCGAAGAAGUGCAUCGGAAACUGGGAAACUUGAGUGCAGAAGAGGACAGUGGAACUCCAUGUGUAGCGGUGAAAUGCGUAGAUAUAUGGAAGAACACCAGUGGCGAAGGCGGCUGUCUGGUCUGUAACUGACGCUGAGGCUCGAAAGUAUGGGUAGCAAACAGGAUUAGAUACCCUGGUAGUCCAUACCGUAAACGAUGAAUGCUAAGUGUUGGAGGGUUUCCGCCCUUCAGUGCUGCAGCUAACGCAUUAAGCAUUCCGCCUGGGGAGUACGGCCGCAAGGCUGAAACUCAAAGGAAUUGACGGGGGCCCGCACAAGCGGUGGAGCAUGUGGUUUAAUUCGAAGCUACGCGAAGAACCUUACCAGGUCUUGACAUACUAUGCAAAUCUAAGAGAUUAGACGUUCCCUUCGGGGACAUGGAUACAGGUGGUGCAUGGUUGUCGUCAGCUCGUGUCGUGAGAUGUUGGGUUAAGUCCCGCAACGAGCGCAACCCUUAUUAUCAGUUGCCAGCAUUAAGUUGGGCACUCUGGUGAGACUGCCGGUGACAAACCGGAGGAAGGUGGGGAUGACGUCAAAUCAUCAUGCCCCUUAUGACCUGGGCUACACACGUGCUACAAUGGAUGGUACAACGAGUUGCGAACUCGCGAGAGUAAGCUAAUCUCUUAAAGCCAUUCUCAGUUCGGAUUGUAGGCUGCAACUCGCCUACAUGAAGUCGGAAUCGCUAGUAAUCGCGGAUCAGCAUGCCGCGGUGAAUACGUUCCCGGGCCUUGUACACACCGCCCGUCACACCAUGAGAGUUUGUAACACCCAAAGUCGGUGGGGUAACCUUUUAGGAACCAGCCGCCUAAG
rnacentral:rRNA from 1 species